AAGCCAAGUUGGACAUUUAUCAUGAAUGCUAAAGAGGUUUCCUUCCUCUUCCUCGUACUUCCCCAGUUAUCAUAGCCUGAUACACUCCAUGCACUCAUGGGUCACAUCACUAAAUCAUGGCCAUGAGUCAUAUUUAGAGCAGGGCUUCAUCUACCCUUGCAGGUUCCAGAGUCUCCACUUCUAUUUCUUUCCCAUGUGCAAAAACCUUCCUUUGGGGUCUGACAGUCUCCUCAGUUGAGCAGGGAGUCAAGGGAGUUUAUGUUUGUGAAGAAACAAAAAUUAGUAACAGGCUACAGAUUAAUUUAAUAAUCUAGAAACAGAUGCCCAUGAGGAUGUGUACUAUAGUAGAGGAAACAGCAACUUCUAUGAUGCCUGUCUUUCUCCCAGGAAAAAUCACCUCUGUCUUGCUUCUGUACAGCUUUGCCAGCUUGUUUUAAGAUGAAAAUUGAGAGGAUGGAGGCAGAGAGACACAGAGAUGGAGAGAGAUGGAAGGAAAGAGUGCUGCUGCUAUCGGAGCCUUCUCUGCAUUUCCCCUUCUUCGAGAGAUUAUCCUUGCAGAGCCCUGCAGGAUCCUGGGGACUAGGGACAGGAAGGGACUCUGAAACUCUGCCUGAAAUAGAAAACAGCACAAGAGGCUGCUAUUCCACAAAGUCCCAGGAAGAGUGGGAAAAAGAGAGGAAAAAAAACAUUAAUGUAGGAAGUAAAUCUGCUCAGCGUUUUAUCCCAACAUCCUGUCCUCCUGCUGCUUUUUAUAUGACCUUUUGCACUGCACAGAAUUCAUUACUAUUGUAAAAAACACGGUUUUGUUUCUUAGAAAAUUUCAAGAAAUGUGUGAUCUGUUUUAAAGUAGACAGGAUUCACAAGUGGCAAAAAUAUGUGUUCUUCCAAAUCCUUUUCCUUCAUUAUCAGCUCCAGAAGUUUGCUAAUUAGACCCACUAAACAAAAACACCUCAGCAAUAACACAGUGCAGAAGGAACGGAGAAAACUUCAUAAUUGCAAUUUUAUUUAUUAUUUCACUGCAGGACAGCACAGGAACCUUAACCAGGUCAAGACUUCAUUGUGUCAGGUGCUGUACACACAAAAAAAUAGCAGUUCCUGCUCCAGGAAACGUGAAAUUUUUGCAUGUAUUUAUAGCCAAGCUUGUGGCCCCAUGGUAACUCAUUUAGUGAUUACCUCCACAAAUGCUAGUGAAGGCACCCAGAAACAUAUUUUGCAGGGUACAAACAUCUGUGGUUUCCCUGAGGCUGAAGCCCAGUGUACUUUCCCUGCCACAGAAGGGUAAUAGGGCCUUAGAGUAAAUGGAGUGGAAUAAGGACCAAAACACUUUGUGUUCUUUAAAUGAAAGGCACUUUAUACACACACGUAUGUUUACUGAAAGGCCUUUCAAAGAGGCAUAAUUAUGCAGGCAUCUCUGUGUAAUUCGCCUGGGUCAAUGCUAAUGUUGGAAAGUACUUAUUCUGUGGGUCAGACGAAUUACUGCAGUGCUCAGCCCCUGGCCUAUGUGUAUGUAAUAAAUCACUCUGCAGAAGAACUCGACUAACCUGUAUCUGUCUUAGCUUUUUUAAUUGCAGACCACAAACACUGAUAGAACCUAAAAUGUUUGCUCAGUCUAGACUGAGUGGGGAAAUGGAAGCUCACGCUGCGUCUUCUCUUCAGGGAUUACCUUCCGCUCUUUCCAGGGAGAUGCAAAGUCUAUGCAUGACACCAGAAAUACCUAAUUGCAUACAAAAGCAACAAAUGCUAAUUGUCCCAAAUGCUUCUUUAAAAAUAAUUUAGGAAUAAAAUAGUCAGGUCUCUGCAUGUGCUUUUAGGCCCACAGGGAUUUGGAAGUCUGAAAAGUGCCAGGCUGACUGCCAGCCCACAGGUUGAAGCAGCAGGUGGGACAGCACUGCAGCCUCUCCUGUCUCUUCCUACAGAGGACAUGAUCCUCUGCUGGAUGAAUUGGGCCACAAAGCUGCAGAGGAUGCCAUUAGAGACAUGUCAAGCGGGGCCCAAUGGCGUGUUAGCCCCAGCAUCCCUUCUUGUGCCCUAGCUUCUGCCAGGACAGCCGUGCAGGAAAGGCCACCUGGUCAUGCAUCAAAUCUGCAGCAUGAAUCCUCUGGUGAGGAUCACGUUGCUGCUGCAAGGUCUCUUCCUGCAGACAGCCAAAUGCAGCAAGAGGAGGGAUGUCAACCCACUCCUCCAGAAGCAAGGUGUCUGGGACCUGGGGCAAGUGGGGCUGCUUGGCUGCUGCUUUCCCCUCUCUCCACUGAUGGCCGCUCCUCUGCUCCCCCAGCACUGGACAUCUCCAUGUCACCGUGACAGUGAGACCCUUCCCACCUCCGUAGGAAAGCUGAGUUUCCCAUUUUGAUGGCACUGCAUUAAAAAUGGCAGCCAAGGGAAUCAGAAGCAUCCCAUAGGAGGUGACAGGAAGCCACUGCCUGCCAGCGUGCAGGAACCUGCAGGGAACACCAAGGCAGGAGGUCCAGCAGAGAGGAUCCCCCAGGGGCUCCCUCCCAGCUCCAGGCCUUCACCAUGAUCCUUCUUCCACCGCCAUCUUGUUCAGAGGUAGUGAACUGCUGGGGUUUCGUGGUCUGAAAGCCUUGUUCAGCUUGGGGUGGUGGGAAGGGGAAUAUCAUGCCAAGUUUCAGCCUCACUCUGUUCAGUGAGCCCAAGAACACCAUUUGAGAGGUACGGUCUCCAUCUAGAGCCAUAGUGUGGGUCUACAGGCCACGGCCAGGAUGCUUAUCUCUCUGGUCCUUUUACUGCCUGCCCAUAGAUGGGGUGUUGUCACAGUCACCCUUUGUUGUGGAAAUCACAUCUUCCACUGAAAGCAGUCACUUUCUUGCUCUGAUGAGUGCAACAAAAUGUUACUCUGGCGUGACUAAAAGGUUCAGGAGCCAGAAGGCAAAUCAAAGCAACUCCAAAUGCCACUGCUUUUUUUUUUUUUUUUCUUUUUCUUCUUCUUUUUCCUAAGAAAUCUCCAGCCCAAGGAAUCCCAAGGAAGCCUUAUUCAUGGUUUCUACAAAAGUGAGGUGGGCCACACUGUGAGCCAUACAUGGGGUGCAGUGGCUUUCACCUUCCCUGAGGAGAAAUACAGCUGCUAGCUCUGCAUGCUGAGGCAGCAAGGCAGUGGGCAGAACCACGUGCAGUGGAAAGCUGGCUGCCCUGUUGGGACUGAUGGACGCUCAGAGCAAUGGGAACACUCAGGGCUUCACCUGGCUUCCAGCUUGGAAACGUGCAGCGGAAAUGGAAACACUCCUCUAGCCAACUGUCCCUUUUUUCCUGUGAGCCCCUCUGGGCUCCCUGAAGACUUUUCUAAGAGUCCUCAAAGCGAUUGUUUAAGGGCAGUGCCAGGAACAGUGGAAAAUCCUCCAGAUGGCAGAGCUCCACCCAGAACAGGAGCACUCCAUCGGUGUCCUCCCAGCCCUGCUGCCACUGCUGGUGCCAGCGCCGUCAGUUACCACAGGGGCCCCUAACGCUGCAGUGGAACUGGAAGCCAAAGACAGGAAUUCCUGACUUGGCUGACCUGAAUCCAAAUAUCAGAGAUUAAGCAUGAAAAUAAAUAAAUGAAUAAAUAAAUAAAUAAGCAGUUAACUCUUUUCAAC